rnacentral:rRNA from 1 species
UACGUAGGUGGCAAGCGUUGUCCGGAGUUAUUGGGCGUAAAGCGCGCGCAGGCGGUGCGGUAAGUCUCUGGUGAAAGCGCUCGGCUUAACUGGGCGAGGGCCGGGGAGACUGCCACGCUGGAGGGGAGCAGAGGCGAGUGGAAUUCCGGGUGUAGUGGUGAAAUGCGUAGAGAUCCGGAGGAACACCAGUGGCGAAGGCGGCUCGCUGGGCUCUACCUGACGCUGAGGCGCGAAAGCGUGGGGAGCGAACAGG